rnacentral:rRNA from 1 species
AUUGAACGCUGGCGGCAUGCCUAACACAUGCAAGUCGAGCGAGCGGCGGACGGGAGAGUAGUGUCUGGGACACUGCCUGAUGGAGGGGGAUAACUAAUGGAAACGGUAGCUAAUACAGCAUACCAUCAGAUGUGCCCAGAUGGGAGGAGCUGGUAGGUGGGGUAACGGCUCACCUAGGCGACGAUCCCUCGCUGGUCUGAGAGGAUGACCAGCGACACUGGAACUGAGACACGGUCCAGACGCCUACGGGAGGCAGCAGUGGGGAAUAUUGCACAAUGGGCGCAAGCCUGAUGCAGCCAUGCCGCGUGUGUGAAGAAGGCCUUCGGGUUGUAAAGCACUUUCAGCGGUGAUGCGUUACCCGCAGAAGAAGCACCGGCUAACUCCGUGCCAGCAGCCGCGGUAAUAC